CCCACCCAACAACACCACAUAGAUGCUAAUUCUUAGCCCAUGUGCCUAUGGAGUGUCCCAUUGUAUGUUAGCAUGCAGGUAUUUAAUGCAAUGUGAUUUUGUUUCAUGUAUUGUGAAGUGGGUUGAGUCACCGGCCACCAAAGUUUACACUUCCUCACAACUCAAAUCAAAUAAUGGGCCAAUCGAUUGCUUGUACGUCAAGGA